CCUUUUGUUAAUAUAACUUGUAUAUUAUUAAGUUACUAUAUAUAAGUAAACUCUAUAGAGCAUUUCCGUACAAAGUACAACACAUUAGAGCCGCCACUACUAAAUAAUCAGAAGAACAAGAACAACCAAAAAAAAAGGGAAAUUUACGUUUUUGUCAAAAUCUACUUGACCUUAUUUAGAACACAAAAAUUAGGGCAUUAUAUAGUGUGGCUAAAGCCAUAUAGCUCCGGGCGUCUU
rnacentral:lncRNA from 1 species